GUUUGUGCGCACAGGUGCAACCCAACAGGCCCCAAACUGACUUGGCAGCAACUAAAAAUGAUAUAUAAAUGUAGUUCAAACAGCCAACAGAAAAAAGGCAGAGGCACGCAAAACAGGUGGCGGUCCACCACCACCACCUCUCACAGAGGCUGAAGAGAUGGCAUCUCUGGGGGGAGCUCAUCUGACCCAGCCACGCCCCAGGACACAGGGGCCUACAUAAGAGGCAAGUUAUUCAAAUGAAUGGCAUGUACAUUAAUCCUUUUUCUAGUGUUCGGUAAUGGCCACCCAUUCAUCUUAGAAACCACUUUUUUUUCUUGUAGCAGUAGGCUACAGUUCUUUGUAAUUGGCUGCUGUUGCUUUCAGAUAUCAAUCUAUUUUAAGGUGACUCAGUUUGAAAAAUUUUGAUGGGACCUGCACACUAUUGUAAAAAAAGAAAAGUAAUUAGGUGGGGCACUUUUCUGGGUAAUCAACUGUCUAAUCUUUAUCUUCUACCAGUUACUGAUGAUGGUGUAAUCUGUCUCGUGGAGCCUUCUGCCAUAACACACCUCCAUGCUGUUGAUGAUGAUGAAGACACCUUAUCAGCUGCCACAGAGAGGGAAGUAAUAACUUUGGUUUCAGUUAAUUGUUCCACAAUACAACUUGUAACUUCUUUCUCUCUAACAGAGCAAUGCCGGAAGUUACAAUGAGGAAGAAGGUCCAUCAACCUCCACAGCACAGCUUACCUCACUCCCUGUGAAACAACUUUACAAAGUAUAUUUAGAAUCCCAAAUAAACAAAUCACACCUAGAAAUGGAGCACAUAAGGCUGCAGAUCACCAAAACAGAAAAGGAAAUACAACUGCUGGUCCAUCAGUUAAAGGAUAAAUCAGUUCGCCACUAAAGCAGAAGACACAAUGUGGCAACCCCGAUCCGACGGAGGAGUUCGAGCCCCGCCAGCGCCCUCUCCGCGGGCAGGUAGUCAGCGGGAGAUAUGUGCUGCUCGGCGCAGCGACGCGGGAGCGCGCAUAAGGCUGCGCAUCGAGCGCAGCCGCGCAAUCACAGAGAUGCGGAGCACCCGGCGGAGGGAGACGGCGGAGGGUACUUAAGGACCGCACGCGCACCAGUCAGGGGAAUGCGGCCGAGUCGGAAAGACGCGGUAGGUGGAGAUUACCCAGACCCCCGCUAACGCCAUUACGCCUCCCCCCAGGACCAAGCAGCCGA